GAUUCCUGCAGUUUGAGGAAAGGAAUCUUUAUCGUGUGUGGCAGAAAGGGUGUGCCAUGUUCAUUUUCAGUCUUGUUCCAGGAUUUACAGCAGGUACACCUGUGCCUUUUCUUGACAGUGAAGUUUUAAAUAUAGGAAAUCCUCAGUCAUCACUUUGCCACUUUGAGGGGAGGUGCGUAGUACAGGACCGCAUCUCGAGGGCUCCCUGCGUGUGUGCUCUGUGCUUCAGGAUAUGGGCACCUGGAGACUGAAGACUUGGAGGAGAGAUGCAAGAUGUGAUUUCAAAGCAUCAAAAAAAGAAUGCUGAUUUCACCAAUGAAGUGGCUAAUCAUAAGAGCUCAGAAGCAGACAUUUCAAAGUGUCUCAGACCUAAAAGGAAAAGAAGGCCUUGGAAUGUUCAGAAGAGGCUUCUGACUGGCCUGGAACCAAUCCCUUAGGCCCUGAGGGAGGACGAUUCUGUAUCAGCCAUAUAAAUGUUAGAUUUUAUUGCAUAUCUGUAUGUCUUGGCUCUGGUGGACAGUACUAAGAAUAUCGAUGUCAUCCCACUCCAAUCAUCUAUUAUGG
rnacentral:lncRNA from 1 species